rnacentral:rRNA from 1 species
AACGCACGCUAGGGUUACCGCGGCUGCUGGCACGGAGUUAGCCGGUGCUUCUUCUGCGAGUAACGUCACAGAUGUAAGGUAUUAACUUACACCCUUUCCUCCUCGCUGAAAGUGCUUUACAACCCGAAGGCCUUCUUCACACACGCGGCAUGGCUGCAUCAGGGUUUCCCCCAUUGUGCAAUAUUCCCCACUGCUGCCUCCCGUAGGAGUCUGGGCCGUGUCUCAGUCCCAGUGUGGCUGAUCAUCCUCUCAGACCAGCUAGGGAUCGUCGCCUAGGUGAGCCUUUACCUCACCUACUAGCUAAUCCCACCUGGGCUUAUCCAUCAGCGCAAGGCCCGAAGGUCCCCCUGCUUUCCCCCGGUAGGGCGUAUGCGGUAUUAGCAGUCGUUUCCAACUGUUACUCCCCACAAAUGGGCAAAUUCCCAGGCAUUACUCACCCGUCCGCCGCUCGUCAUCUU